rnacentral:rRNA from 1 species
CCCUUAGAUGUCCGGGGCUGCACGCGCGCUACACUGAAGGAAUCAGCGUGCUAAAACCAUUGUCGAAAGGCAUUGGUAAACCCAUUAAAAUCCUACGUGAUUGGGAUCGGGAAUUGCAAUUAUUUCCCUUGAACGAGGAAUUCCCAGUAAGUGUGGUUCAUAAGCUCGCGUUGAUUACGUCCCUGCCCUUUGUACACACCGCCCGUCGCUGCCCGGGACUGAGCCGUUUCGAGAAAAGCGGGGACUGCUGCUGUCGGGGCUUUCGGGCCUUGGCUUCGGUGGAAACCGCUUUAAUCGCAGUGGCUUGAACCGGGCAAAAGUCGUAACA